ACUGUUGUGUAGGCCCUCUCCUAAUCAAUGGAUCACUUUGCUUUUGAAUAAAAUCUGUGAAAGAAAUGGGGAAAAAGGCCACAAAAUACCACCUAGAAACAUAUUUUAUGACAAAGAAACAGGGUGCACCAAACCCAGGCUUCAGUGAGAAAAGAUGGUUGAGUGAACACUACAGCUGUGGAGCUUGUAAAGUUUUCAGGCAGAUUCUGUGGUGGCAGACUGUCACAUCCCUUAGUGGCCACAAUUCCAAAUUCUCAGCGUUUGGAGAUUCAUAUUUUCCCAAACUAUUUGGAUUUCUCCAUCAAGAAAACACUGCUUGCCACCAACUUUCUCUGCAUUGUAAAUGGCCCACAGAUUCAGAAUAGAAUUGGAGAGGUUUGAAACAACCCUGAAGAACAUUGAGUCAAACUAACCCAGCAUGGCCAAACCCACCACUAAAGCAUGAUGAACAGUUCCAGGGAUGGUCACUGCACCAUUUCUCUGUUCCAAUUGAGAGGUUUUUUUCCUGAUAUCCAAUCUAAACCUCUUGUAGUUGUUUCCUCUCCUCCUGUCCCUUGUUACCUGGGAGGCUGCCCCCUCCUUGCAGGUGGAUGCAACUGUCUGGAUGAUGUCUGUUUAGAAAAUUUUAAAAAGAAACAGCAAUCUGUGGAUGUGAGGUUUGGGCAGAGAGGCUGGCUGUAACCUCUGCACUUUAAAUACUGACAGCAACGGGCUUUUCCCUCACUGCAUUUCUAGUUUUCCUAGUUUUCCUCCUAAGGUGUUUUCCUAGUCUUCCUCCUAAGGUUAAGGCACCAGCUAUUUUCUUUUCUUUAAAUGCAGAGAUUAGCUGCAGAACCCUUUGUUGAUCAAGCUUGAGAGAAGCCUACAACAGUCCAGAAAGUUCACUUUGAUGUGGCUUUCUGUUCCUUAUGAGUGAGAGUUUCAAGGAAAUUUAAAUAUUUUAGGGUAGAGGCAGAGCUGAAAUUCCUAUGUGCUUACACUGGCUCUAUUGGUAUCUCUCACAGCAGCAAUAAAAAAUAAAACAAUUUCUAAAAAAAAUGACUGCAAUUCCAAAGCCUGACCUUGUCUUCCACCCCUUUGAGUAACAUGAGAACAUAUUGUGGUCACAGUGCCUUUAUGCUCACUUUGUACUCACUGUACAAAGUUGUAAAUUGAAUAUAUUGCACAGUCAUGGUCAUUCAUAGCCCUUGUCUGCUGGUCAGGAGGGUCACCCCAUGCCUCACAUGACCCUUACUGCAGUCUGACUUGUGAGAAAGCAUUUUUUUUUCAUCAGAGACAUGCUGUGAAGGAAUAAGAAAGGAUAAGCAGCAAGGGUUCAGCAACACGGACACAGUCCUCACAGCUCUGCCAUGAUUCCCCCUGCCAUCUUGAACAAACUAACUGCUAGGUAUCUCAAUCUCCCCCAAAUCCCAAAUGCAAUAAUAGUGCUUCCUGUCUCCAUAAGUGACAGAGGGAAUUUGUUAAUAUCUUCAAGCCACUUCAGCCUCCCAGCUGAAAAGUGCUAUUCAUGCUCAGAUUAUUAUAUUUGGAGCUGGGGAUAAUGGGGAUAUUCAGCUGUCUAUAACUCAGGUGCUUUUUUAUUCCUUGCUUGAAACGUAGAGCUCUGAGCUGACGGAACACCUUCCAUCAAAGUGACUGUCACUCUCAUAUUGACGCAGCUGUAAUUCGCAAUUUCUUUUCCGUGAUCCUGCAAGGAGCCAGAGGGAGCAGAGGAAUGCCCACAGCCUCUUUCCCUGCCUGCUGCU